rnacentral:rRNA from 1 species
AAGCACGUAGGUGGGUUUGUAAGUCAGACGUGAAAGCCUUCUGUUCAACGGAAGAAUUGCAUCUGAAACUACAAACCUUGAGUGUAGGAGGGGAGAAUGGAACUUCUGGUGGAGCGGUGAAAUGCGUAGAUAUCAGAAGGAACGCCGGCGGCGAAAGCGAUUCUCUGGCCUAUUACUGACACUCAGUGUGCGAAAGCUAGGGGAGCAAACGGGAUUAGAUACCCCGGUAGUCCUAGCCGUAAACGAUGGGCACUAAGUAGAGGGGU